UACGUAGGGGGCAAGCGUUGUCCGGAAUCAUUGGGCGUAAAGCGCGUGUAGGUCGGCUGGCUAAGUCCGCUCUGAAAGCCCGGGGCUCAACCCCGGGAGGCGGGUGGAUACUGGUCAGCUCGAGUCCGGAAGAGGAGUGUGGAAUUCCUGGUGUAGCGGUGAAAUGCGCAGAUAUCAGGAAGAACACCCGUGGCGAAGGCGGCUCUCUGGGACGGUACUGACGCUGAGAGCGAAAGCGUGGGGAGCGAACAGG
rnacentral:rRNA from 1 species